rnacentral:lncRNA from 1 species
UAAACGUUGUCGACUGAAAGUAAUGGCGGAUGGUUUCUUAGUCACUGGUUUGACGAGUAUAAGAGUAGAAUCGGCUAUUGAAAGCUGUCGACUGAAUGUAAUGGCAGUUGACAUUGUUUAUUAAGACUCUCAGACUUGAUUACUUUACUGGUACAGAAUUUCAGUAAGCAAAUAUUCCAGUUAUGUGAUCAUACCUGAAGUAGACUAUUAUAAUAAUUCCUGCGACCGAGAGAGUAAAAAACGUUUGUCUAUUUUUAAAGACCGUACCUUGAUUACUUUUUAGUAGAUGUCUUUUGUGUUGUUGGGUUACUGUUCGUAUGCGUAUGCCCCUCACAUAUUUGAUUCAUAAUGUAUUCAAUUGGGAUCACUUCAUGAAAAUAAUUUAUGCAAUUUUACUGUAAUCGAUGUUAAUCACAAACAAAUGAUUUUGAAUAAAUCUACAUAAUAAUACGUUUCAUCAAGAUAUACAACUAUAAUAUUCAGAACUGUAAGACAACAUAUAUGAUGUAAUGUUUUAAUUUAUCGAAAAACCAAAAUAGUGUAAGUACCGAUAAAAAACAAUUAUAUUCAAUAGUUCAAUUGAUAAAUGCUUAAUAAACAGUCACCAGAAUGACUAUAGUACAGGGAUAAUGUCGCUCGUCAUUACAUCUAAAACAGUGAAUAGAAUUGUUUUCGCUCGCCAUUAUAUCUAUAUUAUAAUCUAAACCAGCAUCUCCAACUUUCUACAAAUAAACGUCUAACGAAGGUUGGGCUCUUGAGUUUGCUUCUACUCCUGUACUGAGGGUUACAUAAUUACAAACAUCAAUUUCUAAUCAGUUUUUUUUUUCAUAACCUCAUUCGAAGGUAUGCAUGUCAACUAAUUGUUUAUUUAACACAUAAGUCAUGCUUACAAGCUUUACAAAUGCUGGUUUUAUUAACACUUACAUACAUCAAAUGGACUGGGUUUAGCAUGAAAAUGUGUGUUACAUGAAGAAGCAUUGAUACAAGUGUACUGAACAACUUCCAAUGAUUUCUUCAAGUCAUUUGUAUACCGACUACAUUUCUACAUGUCCAAAGUGAAUUAUGUUUAAGUUGAUAUUUGUAAUAUUUAUUUUAGAAAUAAGAGAACAUACUGAUGUUCGGUGCUGUUGUUAGGAAUGUGAGACUUGAUCAUAUAGAGACAUAUUUAGAAUACAUACGCCAAAAACAAAACAUAUAUACAAAAAAAAUGUUUACCUUCAUACUGCAUUUCUUUCUCUCAUAUAUUGAUUGAAUAUUCUUGAAUUUUUGUUCAUGCAAUGAUUAUAUAUGUUACUUGACAUAAAUCAUAAAUAAAAC